ACCAUUUUGAAAAGAUUGUUCCUUUAGAAUUGUCAUAUAGUUUGAAAGAAAUUAUUUUGUCUUUGUCAACUUGCAUCAUAUUGGUCGCUGUAUGUGUUUGUGUUGCUUUGCUUUGUUGCGCUCGUGUGUAAUUGUCCAGGUCGCGCGGAGGAGCUUUUGGACAAACUUGAUAAACAGAUGCAGGACCAUCGCCAUGGAGACGGGAGCUGAGAGCACACAUCUGUGGUACGGUCCUGCAGUUUUUCUUCCCUCCAAAUCAUCUGUCGAAGGUCACCACACUUGUACAGCUGUUUCCAGCUGCUGACGGGCCUCCCGUUGAUCAUAGGCUUCCCUUGAUAACUCACCUUUAUCUCAGAAGUAGCAUGGUAUUCAUCUUUGCUGCUUUUUAUAGCAAGCUGGUGUUAUGGGCUCAGCGGGACUUAGAGUCUUACACAGAGGAGGUGUUUCUCUUUAUGAAGUCACGGGACGUGAUUGAGGCGUGAAUCUGCUGUCUACGGCUGGCUGGACAGACAGGAUGGACCUUCUGAAGAAGAGGAACAAGCUGAACUCGUACACUACCACAAUGAGAAAAGGAAGAAGAAGAACAUCUUGAUGAAGCAGAGCCAGAAUGUCCGGACCAAAGGCAAACGCUCCUUCUAGGAGAAACAGGUAUAAGUGUCAGCUGCAGACUAAACAAGAAGCUGUGCAGGUUUUAAACUGUUUAGUCUAACUUUUAUGUUUUUUUUCCCACAGAUUGCUCUCAGAUAUGCACUUUUGAGGAAGAAAAAAAAACAAGUAGCAUCUCAGGAUCAGAAUCUCUGUACAGAUUAGUGAUGGUUCGUUAAUGAACGAUUUGUUAUUUUUGAACGAGUCUUUAAUGUGACUCAAAACGAAUAGUCUCAGAGUGAUUUGUUAAUUUUUUUGCGGAAAGCACCGCAAAACCGUAGGUUAUGUACAGGAAACAGAAAUGAGUAGUUACCUUUGAGUC